AGUGAACGCUGGCGGUAGGCCUAACACAUGCAAGUCGAACGGCAGCACAGUAAGAGCUUGCUCUUACGGGUGGCGAGUGGCGGACGGGUGAGGAAUACAUCGGAAUCUACUUUUUCGUGGGGGAUAACGUAGGGAAACUUACGCUAAUACCGCAUACGACCUACGGGUGAAAGCAGGGGAUCUUCGGACCUUGCGCGAUUGAAUGAGCCGAUGUCGGAUUAGCUAGUUGGCGGGGUAAAGGCCCACCAAGGCGACGAUCCGUAGCUGGUCUGAGAGGAUGAUCGGCCACACUGGAACUGAGACACGGUCCAGACUCCUACGGGAGGCAGCAGUGGGGAAUAUUGGACAAUAGGCGCAAGCCUGAUCCAGCCAUACCGCGUGGGUGAAGAAGGCCUUCGGGUUGUAAAGCCCUUUUGUUGGGAAAGAAAAGCAGCAGGUUAAUACCCCGCUGUUCUGACGGUACCCAAAGAAUAAGCCCCGGCUAACUUCGUG
rnacentral:rRNA from 1 species